AACGAACGCUGGCGGCAUGCCUAACACAUGCAAGUCGAACGAGACCUUCGGGUCUAGUGGCGCACGGGUGCGUAACGCGUGGGAACCUGCCCUUAGGUUCGGAAUAACUCCCCGAAAGGGGUGCUAAUACCGGAUAAUGUCUUCGGACCAAAGAUUUAUCGCCUUUGGAUGGGCCCGCGUUGGAUUAGCUAGUUGGUAGGGUAAAAGCCUACCAAGGCGACGAUCCAUAGCUGGUCUGAGAGGAUGAUCAGCCACACUGGGACUGAGACACGGCCCAGACUCCUACGGGAGGCAGCAGUGGGGAAUAGUGGACAGUGGGCGGAAGCCUGAUCCAGCAAUGCCGCGUGAGUGAUGAAGGCCUUAGGGUUGUAAAGCUCUUUUACCCGGGAUGAUAAUGACAGUACCGGGAGAAUAAGCUCCGGCUAACUCCGUG
rnacentral:rRNA from 1 species